rnacentral:snRNA from 1 species
GUGCUUGCUUUGGCAGCACAUAUACUGAAACUGGAAUAAUAGAGAGAAGAUUAGCCUGGCCCNUUCAUAAGGCAAAUUCAUGGAGUGUUCCAAAUAAAA